AUGGAGACGAUGGUGGCGAACGGCGGUGGGGAGGGCCGGGCGGCGGCGAGGUACGGGGACAGGGAGCAGCAGGGCGCGGGGUGCGGAGGCGCGCGCCGCUUCCAGAUGCCGCUGCACUACCCGAGGUACACCAGGGCCAACUACGAGGCCAUGCCCGAGUGGCAGCUCGACCGCCUCCUCUCCGACUACGGCCUCCCCGUCCACGGCAGCGUCCAGCAGAAGCGCAGCUUCGCCAUGGGGGCCUUCCUCUGGGGCGCCGGCAACUGA
rnacentral:rRNA from 1 species